AUAACGUAGGGAAACUUACGCUAAUACCGCAUACGUCCUACGGGAGAAAGCGGGGGAUCUUCGGACCUCGCGCGGUUGGAUGGACCGAUGUGCGAUUAGCUUGUUGGUGAGGUAACGGCUCACCAAGGCGACGAUCGCUAGCUGGUCUGAGAGGAUGAUCAGCCACACUGGGACUGAGACACGGCCCAGACUCCUACGGGAGGCAGCAGUGGGGAAUAUUGGACAAUGGGCGCAAGCCUGAUCCGCAAUGCCGCGUGUGUGAAGAAGGCCUUCGGGUUGUAAAGCACUUUUAUCAGGAGCGAAAUCUGCAGGCUAAUACCCAUGCAGUCUGACGGUACCUGACCAAUAAGCACC
rnacentral:rRNA from 1 species